GUCUACAGCCACACCACCCUGAAUGCACCCAAUCUUAUCUGAUCGCAGAAGCUAAGCAGGGUCGGGCCUGGUUAGUACUUGGAUGGGAGAACUAAAAGACAAAUGAUAUUCUGAUAUUCU
rnacentral:rRNA from 1 species